rnacentral:rRNA from 1 species
UACGUAGGGUGCAAGCGUUAUCCGGAAUUAUUGGGCGUAAAGAGCUCGUAGGCGGUUUGUCGCGUCUGCUGUGAAAACUGGAGGCUCAACCUCCAGCCUGCAGUGGGUACGGGCAGACUAGAGUGCGGUAGGGGAGACUGGAAUUCCUGGUGUAGCGGUGAAAUGCGCAGAUAUCAGGAGGAACACCGGUGGCGAAGGCGGGUCUCUGGGCCGUAACUGACG